AUUUACACAUCACUAACCAAUUAAUUAAAUCAAUCAUACAACAUUAGUUACUUACAAUAUCGGAGAUAUAUUACUAAAUAUUCAACUCACCAUUAGACAUCAUUUAGCACCCACCAAUUAACGCAAACAAAUUAUCACUUAUCAUUUAGUGUGCAAUUAUGCAAACAUCAAUUAACAAUUUAUCAGUCCACAACAUUUCAUCUAUUGAAAUUAAGUAUGCAAUGUCUCCCUAAACACGACCUAUAUGUAUGUGGUACCCAUCAUCAUAAUUUUGGAAAACUUAUUCCAAAUGUUUUAGAUCAUCGUCUCUAAAAUACUCAUCAAUAAACACAACUUAUGAAUGCAUGAAUGUGCAUAUACCAAACAUAUGGUUUUAUCUCAACUACAACAUCAACAUAAUAUGGAUAACAUAAUCCAAAUAUUCUAAAUCAUCGUCUUUAGAAUACACCUACGCAUGAUAAAUCCUUAUUUAUCAUCAUCAAUAAAUUGAACAUCCUAGUUAUAUUCAUGAACAAUCACACCUCGUCAUUGUGCAUACGCACGAAAACACCGUCAUUGUGCAUACGCACGAACACAUCACUAAUACACCAAAAGAAUUCA
rnacentral:lncRNA from 1 species